CCUCAAGUUAGCUUCAGCCCCAUCUCCGAAACCGGCUAAACCUCCAGUGGAGUAAGCUGUCCAGCCACCAUCGCAGAGCAGCGCUCUUCUUCAGACGGAGCCUGCAGAGCUGGAAGCCAGCUCUCUGCCCAUGGGUGAGAUCUCAGGAAGCUGACCCAAAUACUCCUGCUUUCUUGACUCAGGCAACCCCGAAGGCCACACACCAUGGUGGAGGUGAUGGAUCUGAUGGACAACACUGACAGUGGGAAUCAAACUCAGGACCUUGCACUUACCAAGGAGGUGCUUAUGCCACUGACCGCUUAUGCCCCGGCCCUCCUGACAGCUUUAAAAAAGUAACUGGAAGAAACAUAGAAUUCAACCCAAGAUUUGGGGCACUGAAUUUGUAGACUACCGCAGCAUGAAUAGGCUUUUUUAGUGUAAGGAAAAUGUGUAGAGAAUUACGGCCUGGGAAAUAUUAAUCAAAUGGCCUGGAGUUGGUGAAGCUGAGCACCAGCUUGCUUGACUGUUCUUUUGUUCUUUGUUGUUGUUGCUCAAAUUUCCUAUGGUUCUUC
rnacentral:lncRNA from 1 species